CCUACGGGAGGCAGCAGUGAGGAAUAUUGGUCAAUGGCCGAAAGGCUGAACCAGCCAAGCCGCGUGAAGGACGAAGGUGCCACGCAUUGUAAACUUCUUUUGUCAAGGGACAAAAUCAGCCUCGAGAGCCUGAUCGAGGGUACUUGAAGAAAAAGCAUCGGCUAACUCCGUGCCAGCAGCCGCGGUAAUACGGAGGAUGCGAGUGUUAUCCGGAUUUAUUGGGUUUAAAGGGUGCGUAGGCGGAGGGUUAAGUCAGCGGUAAAAGUCCGGGGCUCAACCCCGGAGAGCCGUUGAAACUGGCUGUCUUGAGAUGUCGAGAGGUAUGCGGAAUGCGCAGUGUAGCGGUGAAAUGCUUAGAUAUUGCGCAGAACUCCGAUUGCGAAGGCAGCAUACCGGCGGGGAACUGACGCUGAGGCACGAAAGCGUGGGUAUCGAACAGGAUUAGAUACCCCAGUAGUC
rnacentral:rRNA from 1 species